GAAAAAAUGAGGAACAAAAAGCACUUCUGUGUAUAUAAAAAAGAAAAGAAAAGAGAAAAGACGCGCGUCUCCCUUUAGAGCGUCUUUUCUCCGUGUCGCUUCAAACGUACACAUAUAGCGGGAAAGCGCCGCGCGUCUCCGUCUCCCGGCGGUGUGGAUGUACGCGGGAAUCGCGCGGAUCUGAGGCCUGCUGCACGCUUUGAUGUGUAUGGUGUUUAGUGAAGAACCAAAGACUUCAGUAAACACACAUCAGAUGUUUACAGAGCUCUUGCUGAUGGUGAUAUGGAGCAGAUCCAGAGAAAUGAGCCCUGAGGAUCCUGUGCUGUAAUCUGAGACGUCCGUCCGUCUGUCCGUGUGUGUGUGUGUGUGUGUGGGAUUAAUAUGACAACAGCAUGCACACACACACACACACACUGACAGAAGACACUUGUAUCCAACGUGACUUGCAGUGCUUUCAAGGUAUGCAUUUAAUCAGUUAAUCUGGAACUGAACCCAUGACCUUGUUGGUGCCACAAUCCAUUGUUUGUAGUUCCACACAUUAACACCCAUUAACAGAAUCCACCAUUGACAAACUUAGACAACACCUUUGUUAGCUUAAACAUCUACUGCUUUAUCAUUUCAAACCAACAACCUUCUGACUAUAUAUUUAGUUUGUACAUGUUUCUUAUAGGCUACUCAUGAAGUAUGUGUGAUUAGAGUAUUCAGAUGCUUUUUUUCUGGCUACUGUAGAUUGGUACACUGUCAUUGUGUGCUUUGGCUACGUCUGUAGACUUUUUGCGCCCAAUUUUGACAGUUUGAACCAAAUUUGUACACUCUCUUAAUUUGCAGAAAAGUACUGUGCUUGCUAAUUGAUUAGGCUAUAUCAUACUUUGACAUGUAGCCUACCAUGGUCUGAAUAACUACCAUAUUUAUAUAACGCAGUAUUUUCCUGGCAUGGUAGCCUAUGUAAAUGGUAGGGUAUUAAGUGUGUCCAAACUUACAACUAUAGUUAAACCGUGGUACAUUUCUACAAGUGUGGAAACAUUUUGUUUUUGUCAGUGCAUUAAGUGCAUUAAGCUCUUAUUGAUCAGGGGAAUCAAGUGAAGUCACGCGGCAGAUUCUCCGGCACAUUAAGCGCUUUCCACUGGAAACUGGCCGAGACAAGCCCCCUGUGCCAAAAAACAAACCGCGCCACAGAACUCCAGUUUCCCGCGCUUGCAGUUUAAACAGCUUUGUCUGUUUAUUACUAAAGUUUUCUGUAGUAAACUGAGUGUAAACUCAUCAGAAAACUUAUGAAUACUUCGGACUGACCGCAGUGGUUUCAUCAUGCAGCAGAUGUUCGCCUCAAAUCUGCGGAAUUGAGACUGUGACAUAAAACGUGACGCGCAGGUAGGUUUCCGCGCGCGGUAAAUCCGGUAAAGCUCCAGAUGCGGCGCGCGAUCAGUGCGUUAUCUCAAACAGAGAAUAAUCUCUUUUCAUUACAACAACCAAAUUUAUUUUCUCUGUUUCAGCCGCAUUUAUCCUCCCCUCAUCUGCCCAUCCACAAUCGAUUUGAUAUGUAGGCUACGUCAGUGCUUUGAAUAUGCAUAUAUACAUUAAAGUUAUAUAAAUGAUAGCCUAGUUAAUUUAAGAAAUUUUAAAUG